rnacentral:rRNA from 1 species
AUUGAACGCUGGCGGCAUGCUUUACACAUGCAAGUCGAACGGUAACAGGCCGCAAGGUGCUGACGAGUGACGAACGGGUGAGUAAUGCAUCGGAACGUGCCCAGUCGUGGGGGAUAACUACUCGAAAGAGUAGCUAAUACCGCAUACGAUCUAUGGAUGAAAGCGGGGGACCGUAAGGCCUCGCGCGAUUGGAGCGGCCGAUGUCAGAUUAGGUAGUUGGUGGGGUAAAGGCUCACCAAGCCAACGAUCUGUAGCUGGUCUGAGAGGACGACCAGCCACACUGGGACUGAGACACGGCCCAGACUCCUACGGGAGGCAGCAGCGGGGAAUUUUGGACAAUGGGCGCAAGCCUGAUCCAGCAAUGCCGCGUGCAGGAAGAAGGCCUUCGGGUUGUAAACUGCUUUUGUACGGAACGAAACGGCUCUGGUUAAUACCCGGGGCUAAUGACGGUACCGUAAGAAUAAGCACCGGCUAACUACGUG